rnacentral:rRNA from 1 species
UGGGGAAUAUUGCACAAUGGGCGCAAGCCUGAUGCAGCCAUGCCGCGUGUGUGAAGAAGGCCUUCGGGUUGUAAAGCACUUUCAGCGAGGAGGAAGGUGGUGAACUUAAUACGUUCAUCAAUUGACGUUACUCGCAGAAGAAGCACCGGCUAACUCCGUGCCAGCAGCCGCGGUAAUACGGAGGGUGCAAGCGUUAAUCGGAAUUACUGGGCGUAAAGCGCACGCAGGCGGUUUGUUAAGUCAGAUGUGAAAUCCCCGGGCUCAACCUGGGAACUGCAUUUGAAACUGGCAAGCUAGAGUCUCGUAGAGGGGGUAGAAUUCCAGGUGUAGCGGUGAAAUGCGUAGAGAUCUGGAGGAAUACCGGUGGCGAAGGCGGCCCCCUGGANGAAGACUGACGCUCAGGUGCGAAAGCGUGGGGAGCAAACAGAUUAGNUACCCUGGUAGUCACGCUGUAAACGAUGUCGAUUUUGGAGGGUUGUGCCCUUGAGGCGUGGNUUCCGGAGCUAACGNGUUAAAUCGACCGCC